rnacentral:rRNA from 1 species
GGAUUGCCUCAGUAACGGCGUGUGAAGCGGCAGCAGCUCAAAUUUGAAAUCCGGCCCCCUCGGGGCCCGAGUUGUAAUUUGGAGAGGGUGCUUCGGGGCGCGCCGCCGGUCCGAGUGCCUUGGAACAGGCCGCCGUGGAGGGUGAGAGCCCCGUACGCGGCCGGCGGACCGUCCCCGCGCGAAGCCCUUUCGACGAGUCGAGUUGUUUGGGAAUGCAGCUCCAAGCGGGUGGUAAAUUCCAUCUAAAGCUAAAUACAGGCCGGAGACCGAUAGCGCACAAGUAGAGUGAUCGAAAGAUGAAAAGCACCUUGAAAAGGGGGUCAAACAGCACGUGAAAUUGCUGAGAGGGAAGCGCUGGCCCCCAGACCUGCUUCGCGGGCGAUCCCCGGCGGCCUCCGCGCCGCGGGGGCUCCACGCCCGCGUUCAGGCCAGCACGGGUCCGGGCGGCGGGACAAAGCGCCCGGGAAUGUAACUCCCUCCGGGGAGCCUUAUAGCCCAGGCGGUCAUGCCGCCCGCCCGGACCGAGGACCGCGCUGCGGCGAGGGUGCUGG